UCUGAAAGUACUAAAUUCCUUAAUGGAACCAUAUUGCAUUGGAUCUUGGAAGCUAAGUAGAGUCAGCUCUGGUUAGUACUUGAAUGGGAGACUGCUGGUGAAUACUAGAUGCUGUGAUAU
rnacentral:rRNA from 11 species